rnacentral:misc_RNA from 1 species
UGAUGAACCAAUGACUCCUGGUCAAUGCAACAUGGUGGUUGAGAGGCUUGGUGAUUAUCUCUAUGAUCAGGGCUUUUAAGGUUUACUGUGUGAUUUUCUGCAACCUAUUUGUUUUCUUUUGUUACUUUUGAAUACGUAUUAUUUGGCUUGUGGUGUUGCAUUUACAACUGCUAGUCCUGUGGUUGAAAUCUUGAAACUUUGUGGGAUCUUUGAUUUCUUAGAAUCUGGUUGAAAUCUUGAAACUUUG